GGUUGUGUAGUGUAGUGGUGAUCACUCCGGAUUUUGAUUGAACUUAAUAUUCCGGCAACCCCGGUUCGAUCCCGGGCACGACCU